CUACGGGAGGCACCAGUGGGGAAUAUUGCACAAUGGGCGCAAGCCUGAUGCAGCAACGCCGCGUGAGGGAUGAAGGCCUUCGGGUUGUAAACCUCUUUUAGCAGGGAAGAAGCGAAAGUGACGGUACCUGUAGAAAAAGCACCGGCUAACUACGUGCCAGCAGCCGCGGUAAUACGUAGGGUGCAAGCGUUGUCCGGAAUUAUUGGGCGUAAAGAGCUCGUAGGCGGUUUGUCACGUCUGCUGUGAAAAUCCAAGGCUCAACCUUGGACUUGCAGUGGGUACGGGCAGGCUAGAGUGCGGUAGGGGAGAUGGGAACUCCUGGUGUAGCGGUGGAAUGCGCAGAUAUCAGGAGGAACACCAAUGGCGAAGGCACAUCUCUGGGCCGUAACUGACGCUGAGGAGCGAGAGCGUGGGGAGCGAACAGGAUUAGAUACCCUGGUAGUC
rnacentral:rRNA from 1 species